rnacentral:rRNA from 1 species
CGCGGCCUAUCAGCUUGUUGGUGGGGUAACGGCCCGCCAAGGCAUCGACGGGUAGCUGGUCUGAGAGGACGAUCAGCCACACUGGGACUGAGACACGGCCCAGACUCCUACGGGAGGCAGCAGUGGGGAAUAUUGCGCAAUGGGCGAAAGCCUGACGCAGCAACGCCGCGUGGGGGAUGACGGCCUUCGGGUUGUAAACCCCUUUCAGCAGGGACGAAAAUGACGGUACCUGCAGAAGAAGCCCCGGCCAACUACGUGCCAGCAGCCGCGGUAACACGUAGGGGGCGAGCGUUGUCCGGAUUUAUUGGGCGUAAAGAGCUCGUAGGCAGUUGCGUAAGUCGGAUGUGAAAACUCAGGGCUCAACCCGGAGACGCCAUCCGAUACUGCGCUGACUAGAGUCCGGUAGGGGAGCAUGGAAUUCCUGGUGUAGCGGUGAAAUGCGCAGAUAUCAGGAGGAACACCAGCGGCGAAGGCGGUGCUCUGGGCCGGAACUGACGCUGAGGAGCGAAAGCGUGGGUAGCAAACAGGAUUAGAUACCCUGGUAGUCCACGCCGUAAACGUUGGGCACUAGGUGUGGGGCCUACUUAACGGGUUCCGUGCCGUAGCUAACGCAUUAAGUGCCCCGCCUGGGGAGUACGG